CACAUCAGUUGGGCCUCCACAGAAGUUGAAGGAGGAGGAGAGGUUGAGGAAAUAGCGUCUUUUCCUUUCAUGUGUAAAGUGUCGUCGACACCACAUUGGUUGCACUAAAUCAUGUAAAUAAAUACAAUUCAGGCUCUGCAUUGCCUCAUUCUUCAUAUGACAACUAAGGAACACCACCCCUCCAGUGCUUCACCAACCUAGCCAAAAGAAACGCUUUUAUGUUGCUAUCUCAUAGGAAUAUUCUUAGGGAUCCUC
rnacentral:lncRNA from 1 species